rnacentral:rRNA from 1 species
GACAGAGGGUGCAAACGUUGCUCGGAAUUACUGGGCGUAAAGCGCGUGUAGGUGGAUUGGUGUGUCAGAUGUGAAAUCCCUGGGCUCAACCCAGGAACUGCACCUGAAACUACCAGUCUUGAGUGGUGGAGAGGGAAGUGGAAUUCCUGGUGUAGAGGUGAAAUUCGUAGAUAUCAGGAGGAACACCAGUGGCGAAGGCGGCUUCCUGGACACCAACUGACGCCGAGACGCGAAAGCGUGGGGAGCAAACAGG